CUACGGGCUGCUGCAGUGGGGAAUAUUGGACAAUGGGCGCAAGCCUGAUCCAGCCAUGCCGCGUGAGUGACGAAGGCCUUAGGGUUGUAAAGCUCUUUUGGCGGGGACGAUAAUGACGGUACCCGCAGAAUAAGCUCCGGCUAACUUCGUGCCAGCAGCCGCGGUAACGAAGGGAGCUAGCGUUGUUCGGAAUCACUGGGCGUAAAGCGCACGUAGGCGGAUUUGUAAGUCAGGGGUGAAAUCCCGGGGCUCAACCUCGGAACUGCCUUUGAUACUGCAAAUCUCGAGUCCGGAAGAGUGGGUGGAAUUCCUAGUGUAGAGGUGAAAUUCGUAGAUAUUAGGAAGAACACCGGUGGCGAAGGCGGCCCACUGGUCCGGUACUGACGCUGAGGUGCGAAAGCGUGGGGAGCAAACAGGAUUAGAUACCCCCGUAGUC
rnacentral:rRNA from 1 species